UACGUAGGGGGCAAGCGUUGUCCGGAAUCACUGGGCGUAAAGCGCGCGCAGGCGGUUCAUCUACGUCUGGGGUGAAAGCCCGGAGCUCAACUCCGGGAUUGCCUUGGAUACGGGAUGACUUGAGGAUCGGAGAGGCAAGGGGGAAUUCCGACGUGUAGCGGUGAAAUGCGUAGAGAUGUGGAGGAACACCUGUGGCGAAGGCGCCGUUGCUGGCCGAUUCUGACGCUGAGGCGCGAAAGCGUGGGGAGCAAACAGG
rnacentral:rRNA from 1 species